CCUACGGGGGGCAGCAGUGGGGAAUAUUGGACAAUGGGCGAAAGCCUGAUCCAGCCAUGCCGCGUGUGUGAAGAAGGCCUUCGGGUUGUAAAGCACUUUCAGUGGGGAAGAAAGCCUUGGGGCUAAUACCCUCGAGGAAGGACAUCACCCACAGAAGAAGCACCGGCUAACUCCGUGCCAGCAGCCGCGGUAAUACGGAGGGUGCGAGCGUUAAUCGGAAUUACUGGGCGUAAAGCGCGCGUAGGCGGUCUGAUAAGCCGGUUGUGAAAGCCCCGGGCUCAACCUGGGAACGGCAUCCGGAACUGUCAGGCUAGAGUGCAUGAGAGGAAGGUAGAAUUCCCAGUGUAGCGGUGAAAUGCGUAGAGAUCGGGAGGAAUACCAGUGGCGAAGGCGGCCUUCUGGACUGACACUGACGCUGAGGUGCGAAAGCGUGGGUAGCAAACAGGAUUAGAUACCCUUGUAGUC
rnacentral:rRNA from 1 species